rnacentral:lncRNA from 1 species
GAAGAUCCAAGUGAAGAAGCAAGGCAAGUCACACAUUCCCCUUGAGCAUGUUGAUCCCAAUUUACAAAUGUUUUACUGUUUGCAAAUAAAUAUGCAUGUUUUGCUAAUUACAUGGGGUCAGGGUUUUACCUAUCUGCUCGCUUGUGCCAUGUUUACUUGAUAUCUGUCCUUUGUCAACCAUGGGUAAUAAAUCGCCUAGCUGGUGUUACUUUGAUGACCUAGCUAGAACUAUAUGCUUAGCCAUGCUUAAUUACCACUAGCUCAGUCGAUGGGAUAAUUGCAGUAUUAGACAUUCUAGUAUCUUGUUGAGCUGUGUGCUCGAGACAUCUGGCCAUGCUUCAUGGUCGUAAUUAUCCAACUAAAAUGCGACUGAAUGGUGGGCUGUGGGUGCAUGGUUUUGCUAGUCACACCCAUGGCAAUUAAGGACCGGUUCGCGGGAUGCCCUAGAAGAACUUAUCGUACUUACCACAAGCCAGCGUGGGCAACGGCUGGGCUUGUAGUGUAGCUUUCCUCUAGUCGACGCAUCCAGGCAAGGGUGGGCGUGAUGGAGCGGGGCGGGCCCUGCGACGGCCUCUGUCGCUUCCGGAUUCACCUUGGCACGAGAGGGGACUGCCCGUUGCCUGCUGGGGACGGGGGUGAAACCUGAGGUGUGGUGUGCUUGGCUAGAGGGGGUUAUGCGAAGGGUCCUGUCACGGCCUCUUUCCGGUAUGUCGUGGUGGCAUGUCGGCGCACGGAAACGUGUCGUGGGGCUGUGUCUUGUGGGUACAGUUGUACACCUCUGAUCAGAGUAAAACUAUUCGAAUAGCCGUGCCCGCGGUUAUGGGCGGUCGACCAGAUUCACCGUGAUUAGUCUCACAAUUAAUAAAUCGACCCAAUACACUGUAGUUCAGGUGGGUUGGUUGGGCCUGUUCAACGUGGUGUAGCGUUGAUUAGUGGAGAUUUAAUGUUACUUUAAUUACUCAACAGUUUUACUGUUUGCUCAAUAAAAUGUUUUACAACCGCCUUUAUGCAAAUAGCCACAAACCAUCCUUGUAUCCCCUUGCACAUCUGCAUCGUUGGUGUGGCUUGCUGAGUAUGGUGGUUGUACUCAGUCUUGCUAUUAUUCCCCCUUUCAGAAGUGUAGUGCUUCUGAGCUGAAGAUGGAGUUAGAGGACCAAGGCUCAGACCCCAGUUGAGUUUUGCCUGUGGAGUGGAGCUGAAGCCCCGCUAGGAUCGAGUUUUUCCGCUGCUGUCGUUCUGUUUCGGUGUGAGGACUAAGUGCCUCUUCCGUAAGUAUUUUACGCUUUAUUUACGUUUGGAACUGUAUAUUACUUGUCGUUUUGUGUACCCUGACUGGUCCUGGACAGGGAUUUAAUACGCAAAAUAGUCUGGAAAUUUGGGUUAAAUUUCUGGGCGUGACAAAGUGGUAUCAGAGCCAACUUGACUGUAGGUUGAGCCAAACGGUCAAAACCUAAGGACAAGCUUUCUGAAAACCCUAUUUGCAAAAUGUCUCCUCUCGCCCUUCGGCAUUUCUUUGCGAAACAGCUUUUAAAGUUCUCUUCCCUGUCCCUCCAAUUCUUUUAGUUGUCAAACCUGGAGGACAAACCGCCAGCGUCAUGCCUGUUCGGAAGUCAAGUCGAGCCUCGAGCUUCAUGCAGCAAGGACCAAGAAGAUCAGUCCAGAGCCGUCGUUCCGCAAAGGUCAAGUGAAGUUUCCCCAGAGAUGACCUAAACCCAAUCUGUCCCAGAAGAGUAGUUUCGUUAGCUUCUAGAUCGUGUGUUGUUUGCUUGUGUGUAGGGGUAUGGUUUGCGUCAUUGGUGGGGAUGCGACCAUACUAGGUUGUUUGCUUAAGCAACUUGAAUCAAUAAAAAUCUACUCACAACAGACCAUUAGUCAAGUGGUUUAAGGUCUUAUCUUUAGCAACCCCUCUCUUCCACCUCUCUUCCGCCCUGCAGAAGAUGGUCAGUGUUAGAGAGAAGAGCAACGACGGUGUAUUAAAGUCACAGAUCGAUGGUUCAGUUGAAAGCUGCAAGGUAUCCCAAUGCCAGAAGAACCCCCGCUCAUGAUUAACUUUUGGUGUCCAAGACCAGAUGAUGGGUGUAUUGAUGCAGGAGAUGCAAAGCUUGAUGCAAGGUCAAAUGUAGCGAAAGUAACUCCAGCCGCAGUGUGUUGAGGUCAGAAUCAGUGGAUCAGUCCGAGACAACAAGCUACCAGCUGAGUCAGAGCACCUCGCUCUGGUCAGAUUAUGGUUAGCCAAGGUCAGAUGAUGGAUGUGUCAGAUGUUGAUGCAGCAACCACAGAGUCCGAUGCAGCAAAUGCAACGACAGUGUCUCCAACAACAGGUACAAGCUCAGAUGCAAGCCGGAAUCAGGAUCAGAGCUAAAGCCAGUUUGUUUUCCAAGAGCAAGCACCCGCAACCCUAAACAGUAGACCACCAAGCCCUUAGCAGACCAGCACAGCCAAGCCGCCACUAAUCCUAGGAGCAACAAGUGAUACCUACAGAAGGUAUGGGUUUCAAGGGCACCGAUAAAGAUUCUAUUGUUUCGCUAGCAACUGCUUCAAGGCUACAGAAUCAGCAUUAGUAGGGCAAUCAAUGUCAGGGAAUCAGUGAUCUACUUUAACUACAGAGAGACAGCUCAAUUCUUCAACAGCGACUGCAGUCAAUGUCUCAAGCAUCAGACUUCAAUGUGGUUAUCAACAUCAGCCAUGCACCUCAUGCUGCUCCAGCUCAGUGGUCUGGCAAGAAAUUAAUAGAAGAGUUGCACCAACAGUGAGAAGGUCUCGUUCCUUUCAGCUACCAAGAGGAUUGAUGGUUGUCUUAGGAACGUCAUCAGUCAAAGUUUUGUUCUUAUGGGAGCUUCAGCUCGUAACCAACAAAAGGACAAGUCAACCAUGUCAGAAUCACAAUGGGUAAAUGUGCUACUGAUUAGCAGUUCGGUAAGCAAGAGUCAACAAUUGUGCACAGGCCUUUGGUGUUCAAAUACCGUCCUCGCGCAUAGAAGUUCCAAUCUAGUGAUAUAGUUGGAAAAGGAAUAUUGAAUAGAGUAGGAGUCAAGCGGUUCUUUCCUUUUCACCUUUGAGUAUGCAAAAGCAAGUUAACUUGUGUAUCUGCAAGUUACAAGAAACCAAGAGUUUCCCUUCUAACUCAUCGCACUUUUGUUGUGCUCCAAAACCUGUUUGCGAGCCAGUAAAGAAAGGAUUAACCAACGGAGUGAAAAUGGUUAGACCCUCAACACUCGACAUGAUGAGAUCUCUCUAAAGGCAACAUCAGUGGUACUCAAAUGAAAAGAGGGAUGGAAUAUUUGAAGGUGACAUCAUAUAGAGACUCUUGGGAACUCUCUAACCUUGGAAGCUGUUACAGGAUGGUAAGCGGCAAUUACACCCUAGUGGUGUGAUUAUGAAACAAGAAUGGUUUCCAUAGUUCAAGGCAACCGCUAUAAGUUCCAGAAAAAAAAAAUUCUCAUGAGGUUUCCCAGAAGUUGAAAGAGAAAUUGUUCCAAUACAUGGGUCAGAAGUAUAUGGAGUCGAGUCCAGAAGCAUGCUAGUUAUGCCAGCCGUAGAACUGAUGGGGAAGUAGUCAAGAGUUAGAAAGAUCAUAUGCUAAAUGAGAAUUUCCUUAUGUGGAAUUUCCUAUCAGCAACUAAGGGUUAAGUUCCAAGUCUUGUCCUGGAUGAAAGUGCAUCGUCAUUGCUUUAUUUUGAUUGAUCGUUGAAGUUUUCUAUUUUCAAAGUCAGGGCCAUUCGUAAAUUCGAGAAGUGUCGAUUUUUCUUCAAGGACAAUAGUUCAAUUAUUCCCGGUCACGCGAAAGUAUGACUACUCUCUGUAAGAGGGGGUAGGUCGCAGAGAUGAGUUUUGGUUCACCUUGUUGCCGUUUCCCUUAAAGAUUCAACCCAGUGCAGCAAGUUGGUUAGUACUUGAAAGAGCCAGCUGCAAGGCGUCAGCAGAGUAACACUGAUCCCAAGUUGUCUAAUUAAAUUCGAAGGUACGCCGGUGAGGCCAGGUCAACCGUUUGGCUUAAAGAAGUAGCAUCAGGAACAGCCGCAAUCCAGACUAGGACAGACCAAGCCAGUUUCCUGAAAAUACUUGUGGUUUGAAUCAAGAGCAAGUCGAGCAAAGUCAUUGUCUGUGGGUUACGGAAGUCAGUUUCAAGGUUUCGGAAAAACUACACCGAUCCCCGGUCAGCAAAGUGAAUCCUCAGUUUAUCUAAUUGCCAGCAUUAGCAAUUCAGUCCAAAAAAAAAAAUAGAAGUUCUAUGAGCACCAGCAGUUCUGGUCAAGGUCAGACUAAUCAGAGUCGGUCCGUCAGUUUAUGGGAAGCAACAGAAUAGCAAGCUUAUGCAGGUUUGGUUCAUCGAGCAAUCGGUCAGUUGAAUCAGAAAGAGGCAGCAUGUGUAAGCAGAUCAGUCAGACCGCCUGCCAGCACCAGCUUUCUUUCUAGCCAUCCCAGAAUCUCGGGACGAGAUUCCUGUAAGGGGGGUAGAUUUGUAACGCCCCGAUUUUCGUUCGGGUUUAAAAAUCAUUAAAUAAUGUAUUUUCUAGAAAUUAAAUAAAAGUUAAAUCAAUUUAAUCAAGUGAAAUAAUGGGAGAAUUAAAAUUUUCCCUUAAAAAUCAUUGGCCGGGAAUAUUUCGCAAUAUUCUUUGUGCCCUAAAAUACUCUCCGGAUUUUUCCGUGAAUUUUCGGAGUUCAAGAAAUAAUUUUAAAGUCACCAAGUUCAUUAAACUAAUUUAAAUAAAAAGAAAACAAAAUAAACUUCCCCUUCCUCCCUUUCGGGCUCGGCCCAAAAUCCUCUCUCCUUCCCCUCCCGCGGCCCGGCUUGCCUCCCCUUUUGGUGCAAGUCCGCUUUUCCUCCCUCCCGGCCUCCCCUCUCACUCAGGCCGACAGGUGGGACCCGUGGGCCCCACCUGUCAUCCCCAACCUCCAGCCCGGGCCGGCAACUGCCAUGGCCGCCCGAGCCGCCCACGUCGCCGCCCCUCCCCGCGCGUCUUCCGAUUCCCGCGCGCGUGUGGGCGUGGUCCACCCCACGUCAUCCCCUUCCUCCACCAUUUCCCCCACUUCUCCCCUCCAAAACCGGCGCCAAACUGCCCCCACUCACCCACGUCGCCGGCGCCCCUUUCCCCCUUCAAAUCCGUCGCCAACCGGCCCCCCCGUCGACUCUCGAGGCUAUAAAAACGACCCACGGGCUCCCCUCCUCCGUUUCCCCCUCUUUCCCAAGCUUCCCCAUGCCCGAAACCACUCCGCCACCACCAACCUCCCUCCGCCGCCGCCGGUUGCCAUCUCCGGCCGGCCACCUCAGCCGCCGUAGCCGUCCCCGCGCCACGCCGCUUGCGCCACCGGCCUCGCCACGCAUUGUCGCACACCGUCCGCAACUCCGUUUCCCCAAACCACAAUCAAUACACCGAUUCCAUCGCUCACCCGAGCACCGCCGCCGUUUCGCCGCCUUCGGCAGCCUCUUGCCGCCGUUCCCGUCCACCUCAAGCCGCGCCGCCACCACCACUAGCUUCGCUGCUCCGCCGGCAAGCCCGGCCACCACGCCGCUCCUCCAUUCCACCCCCGAGCUGCCCGCUCCACGGUGAACCCGAGCCACAACCACUUUUGUGCCUCCAGUCGCACCUCUGCCGUCGCCCUGGCCACCGCCAAGCCGUGCCGUUUCCUUCACCGGCUCGGCCGCUUCAAGCCACAGAUCGGUCGCCGCUCCAAACCACCGGAAACCCACCGGUGCUCCAUUCCUUUCGAUCCCCGGUGAGCCCGCCACCGCCUAUUCCGUGCCGCCAGCCACCUCCUCGUCUUCGUCUCGCCGCCCCAUUCGCUCGGUGAGAACCGCCUCCCUCUCCACUCUCUCGCCGCCUCUCGCGCCGUCGCCGCUCGCCGCCGGCGUCGUCGCCGGUGGUCUAGGCUCGGCGGUCGCCGCCGCCUGUGGGCGUGCCUGCCUGGUCGUGCCGCUCGGCUGCCCCCGGCCGUCCGAUCGGCCCCGGCCGAUCCGGAGCGUCGGGUGCGCGCCCACGUGGCCGGCUGCCGCCGUGGACUCGGUCCACGGUGGGCUUUGCCGCUGACAUGUGGGGCCCGCCCCUUUGUGACGCGGUCCGCGCCUCACCCCUUGCUGACGUCAGCAUAGCCUUUUUCCUUUGUAAAAAUAAAUAAUAAUUGCGCAAUAAAUCGAGUUUAAUUCUAGAAAUUCAUUUAAAUGGCUUAAAACUUCUAAAAUUCAUACCUAAUUCAUUCGAACUCCGAAUUGAGCCAUUCAACUUGCAAAAUUCAUCUAAAAUUGAGCUCUACAUGUUUGUUUAGUUUUUAUGUACUGUUUUCUUGGUUUUUAUUAGAGUUUUUCCUCGUUUUGCGUGCCAGCGUGUAGUUCCCGUCGUUUCGGAAGAUCGCGUUCGCAAGGAUAAGAGUUCAGAAGAUCCAAGUGAAGAAGCAAGGCAAGUCACACAUUCCCCUUGAGCAUGUUGAUCCCAAUUUACAAAUGUUUUACUGUUUGCAAAUAAAUAUGCAUGUUUUGCUAAUUACAUGGGGUCAGGGUUUUACCUAUCUGCUCGCUUGUGCCAUGUUUACUUGACAUCUGUCCUUUGUCAACCAUGGGUAAUAAAUCGCCUAGCUGGUGUUACUUUGAUGACCUAGCUAGAACUAUAUGCUUAGCCAUGCUUAAUUACCACUAGCUCAGUCGAUGGGAUAAUUGCAGUAUUAGACAUUCUAGUAUCUUGUUGAGCUGCGUGCUCGAGACAUCUGGCCAUGCUUCAUGGUCGUAAUUAUCCAACUAAAAUGCGACUGAAUGGUGGGCUGUGGGUGCAUGGUUUUGCUAGUCGCACCCAUGGCAAUUAAGGACCGGUUCGCGGGAUGCCCUGGAAG